rnacentral:tRNA from 1 species
GCAGUGGUGGUUCAGUGGUAGAAUUCUCACCUUUGAUGUAAGAGACCCUAGGUUCUAUUCUCAGCCAGUGCA